rnacentral:rRNA from 1 species
GACGAACGCUGGCGGCGUGCUUAACACAUGCAGGUCGAACGAUGAAGCCGGAGCUUGCUCCGGUGGAUUAGUGGCGAACGGGUGAGUAACACGUGAGCAAUCUGCCCUUGACUCUGGGAUAACUGCGGGAAACUGUAGCUAAUACCGGAUACGACACCUUGGGGCAUCCCAGGGUGUGGAAAGAAUUUCGGUCAAGGAUGAGCUCGCGGCCUAUCAGCUAGUUGGUGAGGUAAUGGCUCACCAAGGCGACGACGGGUAGCCGGCCUGAGAGGGUGACCGGCCACCCUGGAACUGAGACACGGUCCAGACUCCUACGGGAGGCAGCAGUGGGGAAUAUUGCACAAUGGGCGAAAGCCUGAUGCAGCAAGGCCGCGUGAGGGAUGAAGGCCUUCGGGUUGUAAACCUCUUUUAGCAGGGAAGAAGCGAAAGUGACGGUACCUGCAGAAAAAGCACCGGCUAACUACGUGCCAGCCGCCGCCGUAA